GGGAGCUCAUAACCCACUUGAAUCAAAUUGUGAAAUAUGAUAUAUCAAGAACUAUGUAAUGUUUUGAACAGCCAACAAUAAAAAAUUAAAAAAAAAUAAUCUACUUGUUAAGCUACCCAGUAUCAUCUGAGACAUAGAGUGCCUUGUUUGUUGUUUCUCAAGAAUCUCAGGAAACAUGGGAUCAUGGGGCUACUGGAUAGAAAGCACAUUGUGCCUCUUCUCUGGAAUAAUAUGAUAACUGCUUACCACAUGAAAAAUGGCUGUUCCAGUAUUAUGGGACUUCUUGAUUAUGGGGGGAAGACCUUGAAGCUCAGUCAAGACCCUCUAAACUCCUAACUCAGACACAUUGCAAGAAAUAGCACAUUGUGCAUUGCAUAUUCUAAGCUAUGGGAUAAGCAACCCAAGAUAAACACACUGCAACAAGAAGCUACUUGAGCCCCUCAGAAGUCAGUCACAGCCUACUCAGGGGUGUCAGUGUGGUGCUUGUUUGGGGAAUACCUCUCUGAAGAAUCUUUUUAAAAUAGUCUAUGUUUUCUCUAUCACAGACCAAAGUACACGUGAGGUAAAUAUCUGUGGAUCACAGGCUUACUUAGGCAGAAGCAGUCUUCAUUGUUUUCAGAGCCCUGCAGGUCCUCUGUGACAGUAUGCUGAGUUCCUCUUUAGUUAAACAAUCUGUAUUUAGAAAGAGAGAUAUCAGGAGAGUGAGGGCUAUGGACAGGUCUUUGAUCAUUUAGUUACUUGCUUAUUUCUCACCUGACAGAUGCAUGGAAAUAUUUAAAGGCAGGAAAAAGAGAGGGACUGAAAAUAGGCCUGCCCUUAACAUUUGCUUGGUCUAGGGCAAGAUUAUAAAUGGGGGCCUUGAUACUUGAAUGCCUCAAUAUUUAAAUGUACAAAUCAAGCUAAUAAACUAUAAAUUAAAAUGUGGUCUACUCUUCUAGCUUGGCAAACAUACCUUCAUAGGUCAGAAAGCUAGAGUUUGAUUAGAAAUGUUCAAAUUCAUUGGAGUUCUAUUCUGGAUAUUAUAGUGUAGUCAGAGCUAUUUUUGCCCCAGUCCCCCUCUCUUUCAUUCCUUGCUUCUCAGGGAAUGACAAGGGGACUUAUGUUCACACACAUGGAAAUCCAACCCACAUGUUCAAGCUUCAUCCAUCUUCUCCUCCAGCCUCACAAACAGCC
rnacentral:lncRNA from 1 species